rnacentral:rRNA from 1 species
GACGAACGCUUGCGGCGUGCUUAACACAUGCAAGUCGAACGGAAAGGCCCUGCUUUUGUGGGGUGCUCGAGUGGCGAACGGGUGAGUAACACGUGAGUAACCUGCCCUUGACUUUGGGAUAACUUCAGGAAACUGGGGCUAAUACCGGAUAGGAGCUCCUGCUGCAUGGUGGGGGUUGGAAAGUUUCGGCGGUUGGGGAUGGACUCGCGGCUUAUCAGCUUGUUGGUGGGGUAGUGGCUUACCAAGGCUUUGACGGGUAGCCGGCCUGAGAGGGUGACCGGCCACAUUGGGACUGAGAUACGGCCCAGACUCUUACGGGAGGCAGCAGUGGGGAAUAUUGCACAAUGGGCGGAAGCCUGAUGCAGCAACGCCGCGUGCGGGAUGACGGCCUUCGGGUUGUAAACCGCUUUCGCCUGUGACGAAGCGUGAGUGACGGUAAUGGGUAAAGAAGCACCGGCUAACUACGUG